CGUAGGCAGCGAGCGUUGUUCGGAAUUACUGGGCGUAAAGAGUGUGUAGGCGGUUGCUCUAAGUUCGGUGUGAAAUCUCCUGGCUUAACUGGGAGGGUGCGCCGGAAACUGGAGUGCUUGAGCGUGGGAGAGGAAAGCGGAAUUCCUGGUGUAGUGGUGAAAUGCGUAGAUAUCAGGAGGAACACCUGCGGUGUAGACGGCUUUCUGGACCAUGGCUGACGCUGAGACACGAAAGCGUGGGUAGCAAACAGGAUUAGAUACCCUGGUAGUCCACGCCCUAAACGAUGCAUACUUGGUGUCGGCCAUUCAGUUCGGUCGGUGCCGGAGCUAACGCGUUAAGUAUGCCGCCUGGGGAGUACGGUCGCAAGGCUG
rnacentral:rRNA from 1 species